CUGGCCUGAAAAUGGAGGGAAGGGACGGAAGUCGGAGGCUGAGAGAAUAGGGAACACUACCCCACACACAAGAAAAUGUGGCCUGAGGAAAGCAACGAGAGGGAGAAGAGGAAAGAUGAGGCUACUGGUCCCUUCAUCAUCCAAACUAUUGCAAAAACCUCCUGAAUAGUCUCUCUGGCAGAGUUCUUCUCUAUCCCAGCCAUGUACCCUGGGCUGCAGUGAUCUUUCUGGAGUGGAUAUUCUAGGCUGUUUGGGUCCAGCUCCAGAUCCUGCUCCUUCUGACGCUUUUUUAUUCCCCACCCCAGGGUCCCACAUCACACUAUGCCUCCAAUGAUACGUUUAUUGGCACAUCCACCCCUUUCCCAUCUCUUUGAGUAGAGAGGAUACUGGGACGGGGAUGCUUGUAACGGUGGUGCACGCUGAUUACCAGAGCACAGCUGAGAUCCUGUGUUGGGCCCUGUCUCCUCCCAAGGCACACAUCACAUCCCAGGCUGCACACCAGUCAAUGACCAGAUUCUGGACAGAGGGAGCCAAAGACAGGGGAAGGAGGAGAGAGGAGCAGAACUGCAGCCACUGUCGUCAUGAAGGAAGCUGGGUGACAGAGCUGGCACAAGGUGGCAACAUUUGCAUGAAGAGGACAAACGACUGGAAAUACCACCAGGGGGCGUGCAUAGAUGUAACACACCAGUCACGUUCUUUCUUUCCCUCUGGUUACCAGGUGGGGUUUGAUCACUGUGUAUGGCCUGAGAAAGAUAGACAAACAGCAGACAGACAGACAGGUUGGAGGUGCUUAGAUAGACAAGAAUCGCCAGCCCCCUAAGCUCAUCCUGGUGUCAUGACUGGCCACAUCAAAACCUAACACCUCCAGUCUAUCUGAUAUCAUGGAACAGGUCUCCCCUAAGGCAAGGUAUUGGAUUCCCCUAGAACACCUGCCACAGAGCCGUGGAAGGGAGAGAGGCCUUGCCUGAGGGCAGCGGUCACUGGGCCUGGGUUUUCGUGCUGAUUCUGCCCUUAGCAACCUGGGGGACCUAGGGCAAGUGACUUAACAUUUCUGCACUACACUUUCCUGACUUGUUAUAUCACAUGCUCGGGUGGCAGAUGCAGACUGUUAGCAAUUUUUAAACUUUAGAGAUCACAGAGGAGAAAACAGAUCCAAAGAAGUUAAAUGACUUGUCCAAAGCAACUUGAUGAGGUAGCGGAAUGAGUGAGAGGAUGUGGAAUCUGGAGCAGGGCCAGUCCCACGUGAGGGUUCCAGCACGCCCCUCUCGGUGCCCUACUGUCUCAUCUCCCUUCCUCCUCUGCAGAAGGGAGGAAUAGGAGCACCUACCACCCAGCGUUUGGGAAGAAUAAAGAGAAGAAUAAAUGAGUUCCUGAUACAAGGAAAGCCUUCA